CUUUGCCUAUACGUUCAUUUAUAUUCAUUUUCUGAUUGUCUGUCAGACAUUCUGGUGGCGCACCAGAAAGAUAUGACGAUGGGGGUCGGUUUGAGGAUAAGUGGUAGAGGCCGACGUGAAAUCGGUGUGCUAAUGUAGCCUGAUUCCGGUGUCCAGGUGGCAACAUUAGCCUCGGAAAACAGGCUACACAUCGCGGGGGUCACUCUGGUGUGUCUGCAUCUCUAUACCCCCGACCCGCAGUAGCGCGGUGCCGCAGGGUGAUACCCUCGAUGGUGGCGUAGCCGCGGUGAAAUUUCACGAUGGUUUUGCUGAUGUAAACGACCAAAUAAACGACGGUCCUCUUUGAUUUCGUGAAUAUAACAGGUGUCUUCUUCCCAAUAAAUCCAACCAUUCAAAUUUAGGGUUUUGCGCGUUGGCGUGGGAGCGCAUAUUCACCCUGGUGUCAGUCGAUACAGAGCGCGCGUUCUCGGCGCGCUGGCACGGAGGGGUCAAAGCCUCUCCGGCUCCGAGGCUUAGAGGAACAGUCGCUUUUUAACAUGGGCUUCGUCUCUCUUUUGACCUUCAUUAGUUUGCAUAAGCCGAAAGCAGUGCAAGGCAAACUUAUCUGCGGAAUGCUGAUCAACCAACUGUAUCAAAAUAAAUUGGCACUAGUAGACAAAAGGAGAGCGUUCAUUGGUUGGAAAGAGCACAACCAUCCGCUUGACAGGUGCACGAUGCUCAGGACAACGAUGGGGAAUUCUUAUACAAAAUCAAUCUAUUAUUUCAACAUUCAGUUAGAAGCAUGUAAAAUGCUAUUUAAUUUAAUUGUGCUGAAAAGGACCAUGCCUCGUGUCUUUAUACAAAAAUUGAUAUUAAAAAACACAUUUUUAUACUGAGUAGAUUACUGACUGUCCACGGCUUCAUGCUUGCCCGUUUUUUGAUUGACAUUCUCUGCGUAAUGUAGAUGAAAAGCAUUUCUUGACAGAGAUGCGUUAUAAAGAGCUUAGCCUAUUUAUAUUUCUCAGCUGUAACUAUUCUCACCCGAGUCUGGCAGUACUGAAUAGUUGCUUAUUUUCCAGACUGCAGUAAAAAUGCUUCAGAAAGCGGAGGCCGGGAGAAAGAAAACAGGGAGAUGUUACCAUGAGCAACCGGAGCAAACGACAGCCGCUGGUAAUCGUCCCAGACGCAUGACGUAAUUAGAGGCUUGGUUUUUCCCAGUGGCAUAAUUUCGGCGCGUGAAAUCUUAAUACUUUGCACUACAGAGGAUGUGGACAAUAGGAGAGCCUUCGAAAUUAAAAUAGGCCGUGCAGUACCAGAUCCUAAUAAAGCGCUAAUAAAGCGUUCCUAUAGUGUAUAGGCUACUGGGUUUAUGUCGGUGUUAUUAUGUGGCGCUCGAAAGUGUCUAUUGACGUACUUUUUUUGUGUUAGAUUAGAGUCUCACGUCAUCCUGCGGCCAUUGUCAGUAGCGGGAGUAUAACGUGCAUUCCCAAGGGAAUCCUGUCGGAAUCGGAGAUGCUGCGUCAGGUCCUCCGGAGAUUCUGAGGCCAGGAUUGCGACCAUCGCUGCUCCUCUCCUCUCUACCAAAGACUGGGCGUCAUUUUGAAAUGCCAAGGCAGCUCAAGCUGUGGGUUACUGAGACGGCAUUUGCUGGGAGAGGCCACAUAGAUGGCCGGACCAAGCGGCAGCCUGACAUCAUGCCCCACUGACCACUGACCAUCAGCAACAGCAGGCUUGCUGGAUCAUCCAUUUUUGAUGUAGCUUCAUCUUCACCCCUGAGAGAGCCUGAGGUUGUUUAACCCAAUUGGGAAAAGUUUCUCACAAGUGUCCUCCUCACAACAGGCUGUAUCCAGACUGUCAGACCUCAGUUCCACUGAGCCUCCAGCUCAUGCAGCUUUUAGCUCGGUGCCGUGCCACAUAUGGGAGAGGCACCAUUUCUACAUGACCUGUGUUUGCAUGAGAGUCCGUUCCAGUAUCUGUCACGAUGGCCGGCCACAUCGCUCUGAAAAAAAAAAACACCCUAAGAAGUGCUGCUUUGUUGCCAGGCAACGGCAGCGUGUGGUGCGAGCGGAACCCAAGGCUCCGUGGUUUCACGGCCUGGUUACGUUUAAGAGGGCUGCGCACAAUGUUUCCCACACAUCCUUUGGAGGGGAAGUUAUUUCAGCAUGUGCAUGUUGCUUUGCAGGAUUUAGUGUGCUUGCGGAAUUAAUUCAUGCUUUUGCUAUUUUUAUAUUAUUCUAUUGUACUUAUGUACAUGUGAUUUAUUUUUAAU